rnacentral:rRNA from 1 species
GAUAAACGCUGGCGGCGCACAUAAGACAUGCAAGUCGAACGGAAGUCGUUGUAAUGAUAUAGACAUGGACUGAGAACUUGUUCAAAGAAAGUGAAAGUUGACUUACAACAAUGGCUUUAGUGGCGGACUGGUGAGUAACACGUAAGCAACCUGCCUAUCAGAGGGGAACAACAGUUAGAAAUGACUGCUAAUACCGCAUAUGCCUAAGUACCACAUGGUACAAUAGGGAAAGGAGCAAUCUGCUGAUAGAUGGGCUUGCGUCUGAUUAGAUAGUUGGUGGGGUAAUGGCCUACCAAGUCAACGAUCAGUAGCCGGACUGAGAGGUUGAACGGCCACAUUGGGACUGAGAUACGGCCCAGACUCCUACGGAGGCAGCAGUCGGGAAUAUUGCGCAAUGGAGGAAACUCUGACGCAGUGACGCCGCGUGCAGGAAGAAGGUCUUCGGAUU